rnacentral:rRNA from 1 species
ACAGGUGCUGCAUGGCUGUCGUCAGCUCGUGUCGUGAGAUGUUGGGUUAAGUCCCGCAACGAGCGCAACCCUGCCUUUAGUUGCCAGCAGUUCGGCUGGGCACUCUAAAGGGACUGCCGGUGUUAAACCGGAGGAAGGUGGGGAUGACGUCAAGUCCUCAUGGCCUUUAUGACCAGGGCUACACACGUACUACAAUGGCCGAUACAAAGGGCAGCGACACUGCGAGGUGAAGCCAAUCCCGUAAAAUCGGUCUCAGUCCGGAUUGGAGUCUGCAACUCGACUCCAUGAAGUUGGAAUCGCUAGUAAUCGUGGAUCAGCAUGCCACGGUGGAUACGUUCCCGGGCCUU